UACGAAGGGGGGCUAGCGUUGUUCGGAAUUACUGGGCGUAAAGGGCGCGUAGGCGGCCUCGUCCGUCCGGCGUGAAAUGCCUGGGCUCAACCUAGGAAUUGCGCUCGAUACAGCGAGGCUAGAGUGUGGGAGAGGUUGGUGGAAUUCCCAGUGUAGAGGUGAAAUUCGUAGAUAUUGGGAAGAACACCGGUGGCGAAGGCGGUUCUCUGGGCCUGUACUGACGCUGAGGAGCGAAAGCGUGGGGAGCGAACAGG
rnacentral:rRNA from 1 species